rnacentral:rRNA from 1 species
AAUUUAUUUUUUAAUGGUUUAUUAUACGUAUUGCUAGAAGUUGUAAAUUUGUGAUUGUAUAAAUUUUUUUUGAUAAACAACGGAUAUCUAAGCACAAAAUUACUGGCGUCUAAUCGAACGAAAAUUAUAAUGAGUCGAAAAAUUACUGAGAAUUAUAAGUUCCAGAAGGUAAACCUAACAUUUAAAUAUUGAAUUUACUUGGUUAAGUGAAACAUCUCAGUAGCCAAAGGAAAGGAAAAUACUUAAAGAUUUUGUUAGUAAUGGUGAGUAAAAGCAAAAUAGUCAACAAAAGCGUUGCAGACUUGAUGGAAAUUUCAUAUGAGGUGAGUACCAGAGCGGGUGAGAGUCCCUUACAACAAGUGUAGCGUUUUAUUAGAGUAAAAUAAAAUCUGUGGAAUUUUAUUGGAAUAAGGCAAAACCAUUUGCCAAGACUAAAUAUAUUUUUGUGACUUAUAGAGAACAAGUACUGUGAAGGAAAGAUGAUAAGAAUUAGUGAAAAGAACUUGAAAUUGUUUAUUUUAAGGAUUUAGAGUGAUACAAAAAAGUAUCGUGAUAAGGUGCCUUUUGCAUAAUGAACGGGCGAAUUCUAAGAGUUUAGCAAACUUUAUUUGUUAAAAGAAGGUGUAGUGAAAGCAAGCCUUAAUAGGGCGUUCAGUUAUAUUCUAGAGACUCGAUACCAGGCGAUCUAUUUACUGCCAGAUUGAGAAUACUUUAAUACGUAUUGGAGGAUCGAACCCAUGUAUGUUGCAUAAUACCGGGAUGAGCGGUAGUUAGGGGUGAAAGGCUAAUCAAGCCUGGUGUUAGCUAGUACUCUACGAAAUCUAUUUAGGUAGAGCGUUUUGCGUAUAUUGGUGUUGGUAGAGCUCUAGAUAAGCAAUGGGAACUAAUAAUUCUACUGAGUUUAUUUAAACUUCGAAUAAUAUUAAAUUUUUACAAAGCGAGGCAGACUGCGGGCGCGAAGGUUCGUAGUCAAAAGGGAAACAGCCCAGAAUAUCAGCUAAAGUCCAUAAAAAUAAUUAAGUGCAUGGAAUAAUUCAAAGUGUUAUAACAAUUAGGAGGUUGGCUUAGAAGCAGCCAUCCUUUAAAGAAAGCGUAACAGCUCACUAAUUUUAUAAAAGCAUUAUAGAGUUUUAUGAUGUAACGGGCUAAAAUUAUUUACUGAAGCUAUAUGUAAAUCGGUAGUAGAGUAUUCCAUAUUUUUUAGGUUAUUUCGUGAGAUGUGAUUAUUAUAUUGGAAGUAAGUAUGCCUGUAUGAGUAGCAGAGAGAAGUGAGAAGCUUCUCCACCGUAAAUAUAAGGUUUCCUAUUUAUAAAUUGAUUUUAAUAGGGUUAAUCGGCCUCUAAACCUUAUGAUGAAAAUUAUAGGUGAUGGGUGUUAAGUUAAUAUUCUUAAAUUUUUUCCUUAAAGUGACAAGAGCUCAAAUCGUGUAAUUUUAUAAAAUUAAUUAUGCGUUGAAAACUCUUCUGGAAAAAGCUUGGAAUUAAAAACCGUACUUAAAUCGGCUCAGAUGUUUUGAUAGAGUAUAUUCAGGUGAUAGGAUAAUAGUAUUGAAGGAACUCGGCAAAAUAACUCCGUAACUUCGGGAGAAGGAGUACCUUUGGUAAGAAAUUAUUAAUAGGUGUAACAGAAUAGGGGGUAGCGACUGUUUACUAAAAACACAGGACUCUGCUAAGUUGUAAAACGAUGUAUAGGGUCUGAUACCUGCCCGGUGCUGAAAGACAAAAAGGAUUGGUAGUGAUGCCAUGAAUAUAAAUCUCAGUAAACGGCGGCUGUAACCAUAACGGUCCUAAGGUAGCGAAAUUCCUUGUCGGGUGAGUUCCGACCUGCAUGAAUGGUAUAACGACUUCCCCACUGUCUCCAGUACUAGCCUAGUGAAAUUAAAUUUGCUGUGAAGAUGCAGUAUAGAAAUGAUUGGACGGAAAGACCCUGUACACCUUUACUAUAAUCAUAAAUUGUUUUUAAAACAUUAAAUAUGUAGAAUAAGUAAUAUGCUUAUGAGACUUUAACGCUAGUUAACUGUUUAGGCGUCGUUGAAAUAUUGCUUUUUUAAUUUUUAAAACUAACUAAGAAUUAGGAUAUUUUAUGACUGGUAGUUUGACUGGGGUGGUCGCCUUCUAAAUAGUAACGAAGGCGUGCAAAAGGUAAUUAUAACUAAUUUUAAAUUGGUUAAAAAUUUAAUGGUAAAAGAUUGCUUGACUGGUAGAUUGACAAAUCGAAUCAGAGACGAAAGUCGGCCAUAGUGAUCCAAUAGUGCUGUAUGGAAGGGCUAUUGCUUAACGGAUAAAAGGUACGUCAGGGAUAACAGGCUAAUGGGCCCUAAGAGUCCUUAUCGACGGGCUUGUUUGGUACCUCGAUGUCGACUCAUCACAUCCUGGAGCUGUAGGCGGUUCCAAGGGUUAGGCUGUUCGCCUAUUAAAGUGGUACGUGAGUUGGGUUUAGAACGUCGUGAGACAGUUCGGUUCCUAUCUGUCAUUUCACUUAAAACUAAAAAAAUGUUUCUUUUGUACGAGAGGAUUGAGAAAUGUAUACCACUGGUAAAUUGAUUGUAUUGUUUUAAGCAUAGUCAAGUAGCUACGUAUAAUUUUUAUAAUCGCUGAAAGCAUAUAAGCGAGAAAAGAAUUUUUAUGUUUUAUUAAAAUGGUUAUAGAUAAUUACCAUAUAGUUUAGGUGUUUCGUUUGGCGACAAACUUGCUUACUUUUACUAAAAAAAUAUUUUUUAUACAAGA